AAAAGGACAAUAACACAAGCAUUUCCGCAACUACGUGAAUCUUAAUACCAAAAAACAGUAAACACCGACAAACAAAAUAUAUAAUUAAAAGUAUUCAAGAUAUGAAGUUCUUAUACAUGCACACUACAAAGUCUAAACCAACAAAAAGAGAUUCGUCACAACUACUUUAGCAGACUAAAGAUUUUGCAGAGCUAUUAAAGAUUCAAGGUCCUUUGAAUUCCAGGAUAUGCUGCUCACUUCUUCGAUUUCUUUGGCGCUCUGCAUAAAAAAUAUACAAUUAGACCACAAUACAUGAACGACCAAAAGCAUAAACAUAAACAGUAAUACUCACUGGGCAGACUGGGGCACUGUGGCAGCAGGGGCACUGGGUGCUGUAAAUGACUUGUCAACAGGACCCUAAAUAUUUUGCAAAGAAAAUAUGAAUGUCAAAAUUUCCAUUACCAACUUCAGUGAAAACAAUCUUAGCCUUGUUUUACAUCCCCAAUUUUGAUAAAAGUAUAUAGAUUCAAAGACACUGGAACUCACUUGGGCUAAGCGCUCCUCCCUCCGAGCAAUUUUCCUUUCCCUGCUAGCCUUGUUCUUUGCACGCUUAGCCUCAAACUGAUCAGACAAAGUCUUCUCUCUUGCCUUCUCAGCCUUAGACUUGUGAAUGCUCUCCAUCAAGACUCUCUUGUUCUUGAAAAC
rnacentral:lncRNA from 1 species